rnacentral:misc_RNA from 1 species
GGUUUUCUUAGGUGUAAUGUUCUCCACAGUAUCUUUCCAAAUUGUAAUGGUAGAACUUCUGGGGGCAUUUGCUGAUACUGUUCCAUUAAGCUGGGAUUUAUGGUUGGCCAGUGUCUUGAUUGGAGCUGCAAGCUUAGUUGUUGCAGUUGUUCUGAAGUGCAUUCCUGUCCAAACAGGCCAAGACCACCAAGUUGCUAAAGGUCAUGAUGGUUAUGAGCCUCUUCCUAGUGGCCCAGAUAUG